rnacentral:lncRNA from 1 species
GGCGGUUUGGUCAUGAUUUUUGAUUUCUGGGAUAAAGGUUGGCGUACGUACUUGAUUAGGAGUUGUGAUGGGUGUUAGAAUUAUGGGCAUGGGUGGGGUGAGACCCCUUUGCUGCACCACAUCUUCGUUUGUUACAGCUGCACAGACAUCACUUGCAAAUCCUGAUUGGAUAUAUGUGUUUGUGGAGAGGUGUUUGCUAGAAUGGGGUUGCUAUUAGAAGGUGUGUGUGGUAAUAUUUGAGUGGGGGGAAAUGGAAACAACGUCAUAGGAAAGCCUUGAGGAUUUGGGAUUUUGGGGGUUGGAUUUUCAUCUUCAAUGGGUGUCGACAGAUUAUUUUCUUAAUUUUCGAUGGUGGAUCUUAGAGGGUUUAUGUUUGAAAAACUUCGGUUGAUUGGAUAAUCUUCCUUCGUUUUUCAUAGACGGCGCCAAUUGAUAUAUCUGAGAUCCAAUGAGGUUAGAAGAUGAUGGCACGUGGUUAAAGGAUCUUAUUUAUGUGGAAAUUAAUGGAUCUAAUUAGGUAGUUGAGAAUUGAUCGUGGAUUGAGCUGGUUUUUUGAGCUUUGGAGAGGUUGAGAUCUCAGGAGAGGUUGAUAGCUUCUAAGGUCUUGAUUUUC